AAUGCUGACGUGUCGGCUUAGGAGGAGAGAAACUCUCCUAUUAUAUUAUAGAUUUUUCAAUUUUUAUUAUAUUAUUAUUAUAAAUACUCUCUUAAAACCCCUCAUUGAGGGUGUCUUAAAAAAACAUAAACUUUCAAACAAACAAAAACAUAAAUUAACAUUUUUCUUUCAGAUCAAAGCACUCUACUCUGGCUAGAGACUCCAAAUUCCCAGACAAUCUGAAUCUUUCCUUUCUCUUCGCCAAUUGUGACGGGAACAAAACAGUUCAGAACAAAAGAAAUAUAUAUGGCUAGAAGAAGAAAACCGGAAGUGUGGCUUAAUAAUGAACUAGAUAGGAUAAGCGAAUUGCCUGAUCCUUUGAUCUGUCGAGUACUUUAUCAUCUUCCCACAAAGGAUGCUGUAAGAACGAGUGUUCUGUCCACCAGAUGGAGGACUCUCUGGCUUUGGGUUCCUCGUUUAGGAUUGAAUUAUCGAGUCUUCCAGAAAAAAGAUGCCUUGGUUAAUUUUGGUGACAGGUUUUUCGAUUCCGACAGGGUUUCAAGCAUAGACAAAGUUGAGUUAGAUGUGGAGUCAAAUUAAGGUGUAGAUUCGAAUAAAGGUGUAGAUUAUUACAAUUCUUACGUCACACCAUGGAUUGAUGCAGCAGUUAAGCGAAAGAUCCAACAUCUAGAUGUUCGGACUGAUCCAGAUAGUCCUCAUAUCCCUAAAUUUUGUUACAGGCGGUUUAGGGCUUAUUUUCAUGGGAUGCCCCUAAGCCUUUAUGUCUGCGAGACACUGGUAUCUUUAAAACUCGAUGGCGUCUUCUUGCGUGAUUCAGAGUUUAUUUACUUACCUAGUCUGAGGAUUUUGCACUUAAUAUCUAUGAUGAAUCCCAAAGAGGCCACUUUCGAGAGACUUAUCUCCUCAUGUCCUGUCUUUUUAUGGGUUACGUCUGAGAUACUCGAAAUAAGGUUUUAAUCGUGUAGUUUGAGAAAUGCAAUUAAUGAUAUGAAUCUCUCAAAUCUCGAAGGGAAUGUUUGUUGGUCGUCUAUUGAUUACAACACGAGGUAUAAUUAAUAACACUGAGACAUAAGUAUCUCCUGGACAUUAGAGAGGGUUUUGUUAAUUAUUGUCCUUGGUCUUGUUUCUUGUCAGCAAAUAUCCAUAUAUUUGUCGAAUGGUUUGGUCAACCAGUUAUGAAUACUAAGUUACAUAGACAAAGUCACGUAUACAAUUCUUUUUUUACAACCUGUUCAGUAAGCCUUUAAAUUAAAGAACGUAGAAUGCAUAUAGGCGUAAAGAAUGCCUAAACCAGACUUAAAAUACAAAUAAAGAUAUUCAGUUAUUUAUUACAUAUUCGGAAGUUUUAAAACGAUUGAUCAACACCGAGUUUAGAGAAUAGAAUGCUUAGUCUUACAAAAUCACUUCAAAAUAGCAUAUUGGUAAAGAAACACAAAACUUUUACUGGUGUACAUAGUACAUACAGAUUGACACAUUUAUAAAAGUUUUAUGAAAUUCAAAAUCAUCUAAGCAAGCGAAAAUAGCAUAUGAAACUAUAAAUACAGAUUAUUCAAGCAAAAAAAGUUUUAUCUUUUAAGAAGCAGAUUUACUGCAAACCAAUAGCAAUAAUAAAGUCUGAAAUACAUAUUAGUAGUAUAAUUUUGUUCUCUGUUAUCUAAAUUGUAAAGGAAUUAAGAGAAAUAAUUGCAAAACUGCAUUAGCAACCGGAAAGAAUAAGUAAGAAAUGGAAAAGGAAAACUUGUUUGGAUUGAACAACUAGUCACUAGACUGAGUGACAAGCUGUUAACAAGCUGUUAGAACUCUCGGUAGACAGAAUAAUUAUAAGAAAUAUGUCCAUCCGUUUUCACUGGACAUGAGUUCAAGAAACUGACCCUCAGCCACAGAAAUUAACCAAUGAAUUCUCUAGCCUUUUGAAGCGGUGGAAUAUCAUGGAUAGUCGGUAAAUUCCUGAAUAUAUUGAUCACAAACUGAACCAAUUCCAUAUCUUCCUGGUUGAAUUCAUCCCUGGAAAGCAUAAAGAUCAUUUUAGGAAAAAGGGUUUUACACCACUUACACCAAGUACCUCAAACACAAUAAGGAGCUAAAUAAAUUUCUAAUAAUAUACUAACAAUUCUAAGUCCUGGAUAGAGGUUUAUAGCAAAACAGAAGUCACUGCAAAUAUGUUACUGAAAGUAAUGAUCUGUUGAGGACCAUCAUAUGAGUCGGAUUCUACAUGCAUUGUGAGAAACACCAACACCUUAACUAACAAUCAGAUGAUUUAAUGGAGUUUGGAAAUAAACUACAUUAUAUGGAGUUUGAAAAUAAAUAUGUCAUUGUUUUUCCAGAAAUAAACUUCUUGUUUUAGAUCCAUGUAAUUGGUUUUUGAAAAUAAACUUCUUGUUUGAGAUCUACGUAAUUGUUUUUUUUGGGAGUGUAGACCUUGAUGAGCAUAUAUAUAUAUUGGAAAAUCCAUGGUCAUUGAAUUCUUCAAAAUUAGAAUACUAGCUCGGGAUUCUUACAAAUGAGAGCUCAUCAUGUUAACCAGGUUAAUGACCAUCAUUGAUGGUCAAGAAACUUAUAAAAUACAUACAUCAAAAUCCAAAUGCAUUCUUUUCCAAAAUGAAAACGAAAUUCAGAAGCAUCAAUUCUUACUUGUUGAGAUUGAAACUCAUAGAGAAAAGAAAAGAAACCGAAUCACCCAAACCAAACAAACCAUUCUAACCGAUCUCGCAAGUCGCAAACCUAGUCAAAAUCAUAAGCUUUAAAUGUAAUAUAUUUUACACUUCGAUUCAGCCACAACAUAACAAUACACUGCUUGAUAAACACUACAAUAAUUGAAUUCUUGAAGGGACAAAGAGAAAGAAUCAACAUUCGUCUACACAUUGGUGCUUUCAGAAUUGCCCAAAUUCUUGAAUUGUUCUUGUGGCCAGUGUAAGAACGUCAAGAAACGCAGAGAAGGAUGCUCGAAGAAGC